rnacentral:rRNA from 1 species
GAGUUUGAUCAUGGUUCAGGACGAACGCUGGCGGCGUGCUUAACACAUGCAAGUCGAACGGAACACCCUUGACAGAGGUUUCGGCCAAUGAAGAGGAAUGUUUAGUGGCGGACUGGUGAGUAACGCGUGAGGAACCUGCCUUUCAGAAAGGGGACAACAGUUGGAAACGACUGCUAAUACCGCAUGAAGCAGCGAGGGGACAUCCCCUUGCUGUCAAAGAUUUAUCGCUGAAAGAUGGCCUCGCGUCUGAUUAGCUAGUUGGUGAGGUAACGGCCCACCAAGGCGACGAUCAGUAGCCGGACUGAGAGGUUGACCGGCCACAUUGGGACUGAGAUACGGCCCAGACUCCUACGGGAGGCAGCAGUGGGGAAUAUUGGGCAAUGGACGCAAGUCUGACCCAGCAACGCCGCGUGAAGG